AGAACAAACUAAUCAAUUAAGUUUACCCAAUAUUCUAAGUACUCCUUAAUUAAGAGCUAAGCAAUUCUAAGACAAACGGAGUACUUUGUGAAGACACGACAUGGAUGAUAAUGAGCUUGAAGCAACAGAAUUUUCCAUCGCGCCAUAUGGAUGAGCGGAGAAGUAUUUCGAGGACUAAAUAGGAAACUUUCAUAAUUGUCCACAACCUUUGGAGUGAUGGAGCAUUGUCAGGAAUCAGGUUAUGUGGAGGCAAGUCACAUAGAAUUGGCUAUUGUCACUAUCUCAAAAUUUGAUGGCGGUUAUCCGUUGUGUUGUAUUGUAUUGUAUAGUUAGUUUAAAUAAUAUGUUUGUUUUGAUUAAGUAACAAUUAAAAUAAAUAUUAUAUUUAAACUAAUAAUACAAAUGGGUUUUUAAUGUUGAA